GACGAACGCUGGCGGCGUGCUUAACACAUGCAAGUCGAACGGAAAGGCCCUGCUUUUGUGGGGUGCUCGAGUGGCGAACGGGUGAGUAACACGUGAGUAACCUGCCCUUGACUUUGGGAUAACUUCAGGAAACUGGGGCUAAUACCGGAUAGGAGCUCCUGCUGCAUGGUGGGGGUUGGAAAGUUUCGGCGGUUGGGGAUGGACUCGCGGCUUAUCAGCUUGUUGGUGGGGUAGUGGCUUACCAAGGCUUUGACGGGUAGCCGGCCUGAGAGGGUGACCGGCCACAUUGGGGCUGAGAUACGGGCCAGACUCCUACGGGGGGCAGCAGGGGGGAAUAAUGCAAAAUGGGCGGAAGCCUGAUGCAGCAACGCCGCGUGCGGGAUGACGGCCUUCGGGUUGUAAACCGCUUUCGCCUGUGACGAAGCGUGAGUGACGGUAAUGGGUAAAGAAGCACCGGCUAACUACGUG
rnacentral:rRNA from 1 species